AAGGUUAUAAAAAACGACAUGUUCAUUACAUAGGUACGCCCAGUUUUUUGUUUUUAGAUUCAAGUGUUUACAUCAGCAAUAUAACAACAUGACGUCUGCAUAUGACAUGAACAGACACAGUAUGUACCGCACUUUUAUAUACAUUUUUUUCAUUUUUUAGCUUGAAUAAUUGCUAGGUUCGAUAUUUUCUCUUUCGAAACUAUUUGUUCUUAAUCAGUCAUGCAUACUAUUAGGGAAACAACCGGAUAACAUACACAAAGGGCACAAAAUCCUAAUUGUUAGAGGUUCGCACUUAGACUGGUUCACAGACCAAAGGCUGUUACUCCUAUAGGGCACGGUACAUAUAUCUCAAACCUUUCUCUUCUUAAAAGUGAUCAUCCAAGACUUUUCACUCGUCAAGUAUCCCACCGCCGGCGUUGAACCCCCAUUUAACAAACCAGACCUGGCGGAUAUGUGGAAACUUCGAUCACUCAACAUUCAAGGCUUCUGUCGUUCCUCGGCAUAUCUCCUUCGGAAAAGCAGUUAACAUAACAGCGACAUUCACUCUAGGCGUCGACAUUCUUGCGAUGCAAUGUGAAUGGAAGCUUGUUCUUGAUGGGAUAAUACUGUUUUCAGGAUACUCUGCAGAUGUCUGCCAGAGACAUUUUGCACAUGUCAAAUGUCCAAUCCUCAAAGGAGAUACCGUGACGCUACAUGCUACAAAGGGAAUACCAUAUGUUAGUCUAUCAAAGGGCAUGUACGCUUUUGAGGGCACCUGCUUCAACCAGGAUAAAGCUUUGAUUGGGAGUGUAAAUGCAAAUUUUACUUGGAUUUAUUGAUUAUCAGCUUCAUGGUGAUGAUAAUGAUAUAGGACUGUGCUUUUUAGGAAUAUUUUUAAUGGUCUACUUGCAGUUAACUAUUCAUUGGCAUGCAUUUAAAGCCGAUAAGUGAAUACAAAUAAUUUAUUAUCCUUUUCCCAGCUAAGCUCGAUUACCAGUCGUUUCUGUGAGCCCUCUGGGGCGGAGGAUCGUAGAACCGCAACGCCUGACGUCAGCUGGAAAUAGAGCCUAAGGAGGAGGAGGAGUGAGAAGGAGGAGAAGGGGGUGGAGUGAGAAGGAGGAGUGAGGAGGAGGAAGAGUGGCCAGGGUUGACUCUCUAUCCACCCUUUCUAUCCCCCCCGAGAAACCGACAACGGAACCUUUGUUUGUAAUGCCAGACUUUACACCUGACGAACCCAUAAGCCAAGAGAAACAUAAUAACUUAAAAAAAACACACACACACGCUAGACGACGACGCUCAUAGGGUAGAGGGGCCACUCGUGAAAAAGCUUAAACAGCGUCGGUAUAGACUUCGAUCGGUAAAAAUUCCACUUUCCCCACAAUUUAGGGGAGGGUUGAAAUAAAAGGCGGUACAAAGAAGAAACAGUAGAUGCUAUCGAGUUUUAAUGAAAUACAAAAAUGUGGCCACAA